rnacentral:misc_RNA from 1 species
GAUGAAGAACGUAGCGAAAUGCGAUACGUAAUGUGAAUUGCAGAAUUCAGUGAAUCAUCGAAUCUUUGAACGCAUAUUGCGCUCUCUGGUAUUCCGGAGAGCAUGCUUGUUUGAGUAUCAGUAAACACCUCAACUUCCAUAUCUUUUUUGAAAUGGGAGUUGGACUUGAGUGAUCCCAACGCUUUUCCUCACCGAAAAGUGGCGGGUUACUUGAAAUGCAGGUGCAGCUGGACUUUUCUCUGAGCUAUAAGCAUAUCUAUUUAGUCUGCCUAAAAAACAGAAUAUUACCUUUGCUGCAGCUAACAUAAAGGAGAUUAGUUCUUGUGCUGACUGAUGCAGGAUUCACAAAGACGGCUUCGGCCGACUUUGUAAACUCGAUCUCAAAUCAAGUAAGACUACCCGCUGAACUUAAGCAUAUCAAUAAGCGGAGGA